rnacentral:rRNA from 1 species
CCUACGGGAUGCUGCAGUAGGGAAUAUUGCUCAAUGGGCGAAACCCUGAAGCAGCAACGCCGCGUGGAGGAUGAAGGUUUUCGGAUUUUAAACUCCUUUUGUUAGAGAAGAUAAUGACGGUAUCUAACGAGUAAGCACCGGCUAACUCCGUGCCAGCAGCCGCUGUAAUCCGGAGGGUGCCAGCGUUACUCGGAAUCACUGGGCGUAAAGAGCGCGUAGGCGGGAUAGCAAGUCAGAUGUGAAAUCCUAUGGCUUAACCAUAGAACUGCAGUUGAAACUGUUAUUCUAGAGUAUGGGAGAGGUAGGUGGAAUGCUUGGUGUAGGGGUAAAAUCCGUAGAGAUCAAGAGGAAGACUCAUUGCGAAGGCGACCUGCUAGAACAUAACUGACGCUGAUGCGCGAAAGCGUGGGGAGCAAACAGGAUUAGAUACCCGAGUAGUC